AGUUUUGCUGAGUGGCAGUAUCGUAGGCAAUGAGGUUUAUCCUAGUCAUGAUUAUUGCUAAUUGAAACAAGCAGACUUGCUUCUAGAUCUAAGGGAUCAGAACUGUAAGAUUCAUUUAAAAAUU
ensembl:snRNA U4 U4 spliceosomal RNA